GUAACCANGGUUUCCCGUAGGGUGAACCUGCGGAGGAUCAUUA
rnacentral:rRNA from 1 species